rnacentral:rRNA from 1 species
AUUGAACGCUGGCGGCAGGCCUAACACAUGCAAGUCGAGCGAGCGGCGGACGGGUGAGUAAUGUCUGGGAAACUGCCUGAUGGAGGGGGAUAACUACUGGAAACGGUAGCUAAUACCGCAUACCAUCAGAUUUGCCCCGUUGGGAGUAGCUAGUAGGGGGGGGAACGGCUCACCUAGGCGACGAUCCCUAGCUGGCCUGAGAGGAUGAGCAGCCAAACUGGAACUGAGACACGGUCCAGACUCCUACGGGAGGCAGAAGUGGGGAAUAUUGCACAAUGGGAGCAAGCCUGAUGCAGCCAUGCCGCGUGUGUGAAGAAGGCCUUCGGGUUGUAAAGCACUUUCAGCGGGGAGGCGUUACCCGCAGAAGAAGCACCGGCUAACUCCGUGCCAGCAGCCGCGGUAAUAC